UGGGGAAUAUUGCACAAUGGGCGCAAGCCUGAUGCAGCAACGCCGCGUGAGGGACGACGGCCUUCGGGUUGUAAACCUCUUUUAGUAGGGAAGAAGCGAAAGUGACGGUACCUGCAGAAAAAGCACCGGCUAACUACGUGCCAGCAGCCGCGGUAAUACGUAGGGUGCAAGCGUUGUCCGGAAUUAUUGGGCGUAAAGAGCUCGUAGGCGGUUUGUCGCGUCUGCUGUGAAAACUGGAGGCUCAACCUCCAGCCUGCAGUGGGUACGGGCAGACUAGAGUGCGGUAGGGGAGAUUGGAAUUCCUGGUGUAGCGGUGGAAUGCGCAGAUAUCAGGAGGAACACCGAUGGCGAAGGCAGAUCUCUGGGCCGUAACUGACGCUGAGGAGCGAAAGCAUGGGGAGCGAACAG
rnacentral:rRNA from 1 species